ACUGCAUUGUGACUGCACGGCUAGAGUGUGUCAGAGGGGGUAGAAUCCACGUGUAGCAGUGAAAUGCGUAGAGAUGUGAGGAUACCGAUGGCGAAGGCAGCCCCCUGGGAUAACACUGACGCUCAUGCACGAAAGCGUGGGGAGCAAACAGGAUUAGAUACCCUGGUAGUCCACGCCCUAAACGAUGUCAACUAGUUGUCGGGUCUUAAUUGACUUGGUAACGCAGCUAACGCGUGAAGUUGACCGCCUGGGGAGUACGGUCGCAAGAUUAAAACUCAAAGGAAUUGACGGGGACCCGCACAAGCGGUGGAUGAUGUGGAUUAAUUCGAUGCAACGCGAAAAACCUUACCUACCCUUGACAUGUCUGGAACCCGGGAGAGAUCUCGGGGUGCUCGAAAGAGAGCCAGAACACAGGUGCUGCAUGGCUGUCGUCGGCUCGUGUCGUGAGAUGUUGGGUUAAGUCCCGCAACGAGCGCAACCCUUGUCAUUAGUUGCUACGAAAGGGCACUCUAAUGAGACUGCCGGUGACAAACCGGAGGAAGGUGGGGAUGACGUCAAGUCCUCAUGGCCCUUAUGGGUAGGGCUUCACACGUCAUACAAUGGUACAUACAGAGGGCUGCCAACCCGCGAGGGGGAGCUAAUCCCAGAAAGUGUAUCGUAGUCCGGAUUGGAGUCUGCAACUCGACUCCAUGAAGUUGGAAUCGCUAGUAAUCGCGGAUCAGCAUGUCGCGGUGAAUACGUUCCCGGGUCUUGUACACACCGCCCGUCACACCAU
rnacentral:rRNA from 1 species